CUCACCCAGUCAACUUGAAGAACUGGACUGUUCUUAUGAACACCCUUUACUUUAGUUUUAAGUACUUCAGGAAAUAAAUCAAUAAAAUAAAAAAACAACAUACCCUACAUGCUAUCCUAUAUUUUAAAGGGACACUAUUGGUAUUAAAACAACUUUAGCUUAAUGAAGCAGUUUUGGUGUAUAGAUAAUGCCCCUGCAGUUUCACUGCUCAAUU